GAGAUGUGAUGAGUUUAUCUAUUGGUCCGUGUUUCUGAUUUAACCGUGACCGACAAACCUUAACCAAACUCUGAUCUC